rnacentral:rRNA from 1 species
UGCCAGCAGCCGCGGUAAUACGGAGGGUGCAAGCGUUGUUCGGAAUCAUUGGGCGUAAAGCGGGUGUAGGCGGCUUGGUAAGUCGGGUGUGAAAGCCCUGGGCUCAACCCAGGAAUUGCAUUCGAAACUGCCUCGCUAGAGUCUCGGAGAGGGUGGCGGAAUUCCCGGUGUAGAGGUGAAAUUCGUAGAUAUCGGGAGGAACACCAGUGGCGAAGGCGGCCACCUGGACGAGGACUGACGCUGAGACCCGAAAGCGUGGGGAGCAAACAGGAUUAGAUA